UGAAUUUUUCAUUUCUGCAAAGGUGGACUCCAGAACCUAGGGUGAAAUGGGAAUAUUGAGUAUGCUAUGUAAUCAAGGAAUGAAGGAGAAUGGAGCUAGAUCUGUAAUAGGAGCUACAGAAAACAAGAUGGCAAACAAGGUCCCAGCCGAACCCAAAGUUGAAAACAAGAGAACCAGGCGAAUGUGAGCACCCACCAGACCCACCCACAGAGAAUCCCAGGGACUGAAGUCGUUUUAUGUUUGCCUUCAACUUAAGAUAAGUCCCAGAUAAUUGGAGGAUGUGGGGACCAGGAUGCCUCAUUGCACAACUCCAGGAGGCACAUUACAGUAGGUGUGCAAGAGGGCAUGACACUCAAGUUACAAACACAUCAUUUCAUUUAAUCUUCACAACACUCCUGGAAGAAAGGCAUUAUUAUCCUUGUCUUACAGAUAAAGAAACUGAGACUCCAAGAAUA